rnacentral:misc_RNA from 1 species
UAACCACUCAAGCUCUCGCUUGGUAUUGGGGUUCGCGGUUUCUCGCGGCCCCUAAAAUCAGUGGCGGUGCCUCUCGGCUCUACGCGUAGUAAUACUUCUCGCGAUUGAGUCCGGUAGGUCUACUUGCCAGCAACCCCUAAUUUUUUUAA